UAUUUCACUUCUCCAAAUCCAAUAAAAAUAGUAUCUCAUACUAUUUUUAUUUAUUUUCAUUUUUAUAUUUAAAUCCGGUAUAUUACAUUACACCGCAACCUUACCGGAACCAUUCAAAUGGCUCUCCAACGAAAUGGACACCGUAACUUCAUGAUUUUAGAAGUUCGGUAUCUUACAUAAGUAGCAGCCUCUGUAACCGAAACAGCUUGACAAGAAAACUACCAAAUGAAUCUCAAUUUUCUCUUUCUCUCUCGCUCAUUCUCUUCCUACUUCUUGUUCUUCUUUCCCCCUUGUUCUCUCUUCUCCUAUAUUUCCUAUCCUAAUCCUACAUUGGACCUCCCUAUUUAU
rnacentral:lncRNA from 1 species